rnacentral:rRNA from 1 species
GGGUUGUGAGGUUAAGCGACUAAGCGUACACGGUGGAUGCCCUGGCAGUCAGAGGCGAUGAAGGACGUGCUAAUCUGCGAUAAGCGUCGGUAAGGUGAUAUGAACCGUUAUAACCGGCGAUUUCCGAAUGGGGAAACCCAGUGUGAUUCGUCACACUAUCAUUAACUGAAUCCAUAGGUUAAUGAGGCGAACCGGGGGAACUGAAACAUCUAAGUACCCCGAGGAAAAGAAAUCAACCGAGAUUCCCCCAGUAGCGGCGAGCGAACGGGGAGCAGCCCAGAGCCUGAAUCAGUGUGUGUGUUAGUGGAAGCGUCUGGAAAGGCGCGCGAUACAGGGUGACAGCCCCGUACACAAAAAUGCACAUACUGUGAGCUCGAUGAGUAGGGCGGGACACGUGGUAUCCUGUCUGAAUAUGGGGGGACCAUCCUCCAAGGCUAAAUACUCCUGACUGACCGAUAGUGAACCAGUACCGUGAGGGAAAGGCGAAAAGAACCCCGGCGAGGGGAGUGAAAAAGAACCUGAAACCGUGUACGUACAAGCAGUGGGAGCACAGAGCAAUCUGUGUGACUGCGUACCUUUUGUAUAAUGGGUCAGCGACUUAUAUUCUGUAGCAAGGUUAACCGAAUAGGGGAGCCGAAGGGAAACCGAGUCUUAACUGGGCGUUAAGUUGCAGGGUAUAGACCCGAAACCCGGUGAUCUAGCCAUGGGCAGGUUGAAGGUUGGGUAACACUAACUGGAGGACCGAACCGACUAAUGUUGAAAAAUUAGCGGAUGACUUGUGGCUGGGGGUGAAAGGCCAAUCAAAACCGGGAGAUAGCUGGUUCUCCCCGAAAGCUAUUUAGGUAGCGCCUCGUGAAUUCAUCUCCGGGGGUAGAGCACUGUUUCGGCAAGGGGGUCAUCCCGACUUACCAACCCGAUGCAAACUGCGAAUACCGGAGAAUGUUAUCACGGGAGACACACGGCGGGUGCUAACGUCCGUCGUGAAGAGGGAAACAACCCAGACCGCCAGCUAAGGUCCCAAAGUCAUGGUUAAGUGGGAAACGAUGUGGGAAGGCCCAGACAGCCGUGAUGUUGGCUUAGAAGCAGCCAUCAUUUAAAGAAAGCGUAAUAGCUCACUGGUCGAGUCGGCCUGCGCGGAAGAUGUAACGGGGCUAAACCAUGCACCGAAGCUGCGGCAGCGACGCUUAUGCGUUGUUGGGUAGGGGAGCGUUCUGUAAGCCUGCGAAGGUGUGCUGUGAGGCAUGCUGGAGGUAUCAGAAGUGCGAAUGCUGACAUAAGUAACGAUAAAGCGGGUGAAAAGCCCGCUCGCCGGAAGACCAAGGGUUCCUGUCCAACGUUAAUCGGGGCAGGGUGAGUCGACCCCUAAGGCGAGGCCGAAAGGCGUAGUCGAUGGGAAACAGGUUAAUAUUCCUGUACUUGGUGUUACUGCGAAGGGGGGACGGAGAAGGCUAUGUUGGCCGGGCGACGGUUGUCCCGGUUUAAGCGUGUAGGCUGGUUUUCCAGGCAAAUCCGGAAAAUCAAGGCUGAGGCGUGAUGACGAGGCACUACGGUGCUGAAGCAACAAAUGCCCUGCUUCCAGGAAAAGCCUCUAAGCAUCAGGUAACAUCAAAUCGUACCCCAAACCGACACAGGUGGUCAGGUAGAGAAUACCAAGGCGCUUGAGAGAACUCGGGUGAAGGAACUAGGCAAAAUGGUGCCGUAACUUCGGGAGAAGGCACGCUGAUAUGUAGGUGAAGUCCCUCGCGGAUGGAGCUGAAAUCAGUCGAAGAUACCAGCUGGCUGCAACUGUUUAUUAAAAACACAGCACUGUGCAAACACGAAAGUGGACGUAUACGGUGUGACGCCUGCCCGGUGCCGGAAGGUUAAUUGAUGGGGUUAGCGCAAGCGAAGCUCUUGAUCGAAGCCCCGGUAAACGGCGGCCGUAACUAUAACGGUCCUAAGGUAGCGAAAUUCCUUGUCGGGUAAGUUCCGACCUGCACGAAUGGCGUAAUGAUGGCCAGGCUGUCUCCACCCGAGACUCAGUGAAAUUGAACUCGCUGUGAAGAUGCAGUGUACCCGCGGCAAGACGGAAAGACCCCGUGAACCUUUACUAUAGCUUGACACUGAACAUUGAGCCUUGAUGUGUAGGAUAGGUGGGAGGCUUGGAAGUGUGGACGCCAGUCUGCAUGGAGCCGACCUUGAAAUACCACCCUUUAAUGUUUGAUGUUCUAACGUUGACCCGUAAUCCGGGUUGCGGACAGUGUCUGGUGGGUAGUUUGACUGGGGCGGUCUCCUCCUAAAGAGUAACGGAGGAGCACGAAGGUUGGCUAAUCCUGGUCGGACAUCAGGAGGUUAGUGCAAUGGCAUAAGCCAGCUUGACUGCGAGCGUGACGGCGCGAGCAGGUGCGAAAGCAGGUCAUAGUGAUCCGGUGGUUCUGAAUGGAAGGGCCAUCGCUCAACGGAUAAAAGGUACUCCGGGGAUAACAGGCUGAUACCGCCCAAGAGUUCAUAUCGACGGCGGUGUUUGGCACCUCGAUGUCGGCUCAUCACAUCCUGGGGCUGAAGUAGGUCCCAAGGGUAUGGCUGUUCGCCAUUUAAAGUGGUACGCGAGCUGGGUUUAGAACGUCGUGAGACAGUUCGGUCCCUAUCUGCCGUGGGCGCUGGAGAACUGAGGGGGGCUGCUCCUAGUACGAGAGGACCGGAGUGGACGCAUCACUGGUGUUCGGGUUGUCAUGCCAAUGGCACUGCCCGGUAGCUAAAUGCGGAAGAGAUAAGUGCUGAAAGCAUCUAAGCACGAAACUUGCCCCGAGAUGAGUUCUCCCUGACUCCUUGAGAGUCCUGAAGGAACGUUGAAGACGACGACGUUGAUAGGCCGGGUGUGUAAGCGCAGCGAUGCGUUGAGCUAACCGGUACUAAUGAACCGUGAGGCUUAACCUUACAACGCCGAAGCUGUU